rnacentral:tRNA from 1 species
GGUGUAUAGCUCAAUUGGAUAGAGCAUCUGACUUCGGAUCAGAGGGUUGAGGGUUCGAAUCCUUCUAUGCCC